rnacentral:rRNA from 1 species
GUCCUUGCCGUAAACGAUGUAUACUUGAUGUAAUUGGGCUCAACCCUGAUUGUGUCGAAGCUAACGCGAUAAGUAUACCUCCUGGGGAGUACGCUCGCAAGGGUGAAACUCAAAAGAAUUGACGGGGGCCCCGCACAAGCAGUGGAGCAUGUGGUUUAAUUCGAUGCAACGCGAAGAACCUUACCCAGGCUCGAAAUGUAAUAGACGUAACCAGAGAUGGUUAUUUCCGCAAGGACUGUUAUAUAGGUGCUGCAUGGCUGUCGU